rnacentral:miRNA from 1 species
CAGCAGACACAUUCCAGCCAAUCAGCAGCAGACCCUCCCAGACCCUCCCACCUCCUGGACAGCAUCAAUUUUACAUUCAUUGUGAAGCUGCAUUCUUAGUGAGCUGUCCAGGAGGUGGGAGGGUCUGGGAGGGAGGGUCUGCUGCUGAUUGGCUGGAAUGUGUCUGCU